rnacentral:rRNA from 1 species
CCUGGUGAUUAUUGCCAAAGUGUCAUUCCCGUUCCCAUUCCGAACACGGAAGUCAAGCCCUCCAGCGCCGAUGGUACUUGGGACGAGUGUCCCUGGGAGAGUAGGACGCCGCCGGAU